AGUGAACGCUGGCGGUAGGCCUAACACAUGCAAGUCGAACGGCAGCACAGUAAGAGCUUGCUCUUACGGGUGGCGAGUGGCGGACGGGUGAGGAAUACAUCGGAAUCUACUUUUUCGUGGGGGAUAACGUAGGGAAACUUACGCUAAUACCGCAUACGACCUACGGGUGAAAGCAGGGGAUCUUCGGACCUUGCGCGAUUGAAUGAGCCGAUGUCGGAUUAGCCAGUUGGCGGGGUAAGGGCCCACCAAGGCGACGAUCCGUAGCUGGUCUGAGAGGAUGAUCAGCCACACUGGAACUGAGACACGGUCCAGACUCCUACGGGAGGCAGCAGUGGGGAAUAUUGGACAAUGGGCGCAAGCCUGAUCCAGCCAUACCGCGUGGGUGAAGAAGGCCUUCGGGUUGUAAAGCCCUUUUGUUGGGAAAGAAAAGCAGCAGGUUAAUACCCCGCUGUUCUGACGGUACCCAAAGAAUAAGCACCGGCUAACUUCGUG
rnacentral:rRNA from 1 species